UUCCCUGCGUACCAGAAAUGGGACACCCGCUAAAUUAGAUCGAUGUAUACAGAGAAGAUUAGCAUGGUCCCUGC